UACGUAGGUGGCAAGCGUUGUCCGGAUUUACUGGGCGUAAAGGGCGCGCAGGCGGUCGUUCAAGUCGCGUGUGAAAGCCCCCGGCUUAACUGGGGAGGGUCACGCGAUACUGAUCGACUCGAAGGCAGGAGAGGGUAGUGGAAUUCCCGGUGUAGUGGUGAAAUGCGUAGAUAUCGGGAGGAACACCAGUGGCGAAGGCGACUACCUGGCCUGUUCUUGACGCUGAGGCGCGAAAGCUAGGGGAGCAAACGGG
rnacentral:rRNA from 1 species